UGAGCCAACCAGGCAAUCGCUAUUGAUAUUUCAGUAGAGGAAAGUCCGGGCUCCACAGGGUAAGGUGCCAGGUAACACCUGGGGGACGUGAGUCCACGGAAAGUGCAGCAGAAAAUAUACCGCCCGGUUUGACCGGGUAAGGGUGAAAUGGUGCGGUAAGAGCGCACCGCAGAUGCGGUAACGUGUCUGGCAGUGUAAACCCCACCUGGAGCAAGACCAAAUAGGAAUCCAAUGGCGUGUCCCGCGCCGGAUUCGGGUAGGUCGCUUGAGGUCCAUGGUGACGUGGAUCCUAGAUGAAUGAUUGUCCGCGACAGAACCCGGCUUAUCGGUUGGCUCUUUUA
rnacentral:RNase_P_RNA from 1 species